UACGGAGGGUGCAAGCGUUAUCCGGAUUCACUGGGUUUAAAGGGUGCGUAGGUGGGUUUGUAAGUCAGCGGUGAAAUCUCCGGGCUUAACUCGGAAACUGCCAUUGAUACUAUAGAUCUUGAAUUUUCUGGAGGUAAGCGGAAUAUGUCAUGUAGCGGUGAAAUGCUUAGAUAUGACAUAGAACACCAAUUGCGAAGGCAGCUUGCUACAGGAAUAUUGACACUGAGGCACGAAAAGCGUGGGGAUCAAACAGG
rnacentral:rRNA from 1 species